rnacentral:misc_RNA from 1 species
AGUCAUUGCUGCAACUAUGAUCAGAAGACAAUAGAGAAAGAGGAAGAGAUCCCGAUUGUAGCUCUUGGUAGAAUCUGCGAAGAAGUUUGUGCGGUCACAGAUAUAGAAAUAAAAUAGGAUUCCCCCAAAUUCGGACAUUGCCCUUAAAGUUGCUCGAUUUUCAAGCAAAAAGGAGUCCUCCAUCGUAAGAAACCUAACUAUAUUUGUUUUUAUUGAUGAACUAGACACCUUCGUAGAUGCAGAUUUUGACAGACCUCCUUCCAGUAAGACAGCUCGAUCUUCUUCCUUGAUUGUUGCAUUUUCCAAUUCAACUAGAUUGUUGUCUGAAUGAACUUUAGAUGGGAACAACCACUUCUUGUACUCCAACCACUCAGAGUAUAGCCAUGCAACAAGGACGGGUAUAAAUCCAAGCAAAAAUGACACCUGUCCAGGCGUUAGAGGACCAGAAACUGCCGCCAUUUUCCCCCAAAAUUAUAAUACUAUAUGGAUCACCGACAAGUGAAAUCUACCGAUUCCGGCGAAAUUGAAGCAGAGAAAAGCUCA